rnacentral:rRNA from 1 species
GACGAACGCUGGCGGCGUGCUUAACACAUGCAAGUCGAACGGACAGGCCCUGCUUUUGUUGGGUGCUCGAGUGCCGAACGGGUGAGUAACACGUGAGUAACCUGCCCUUGACUUUGGGAUAACUUCAGGAAACUGGGGCUAAUACCGGAUAGGAGCUCCUGCUGCAUGGUGGGGGUUGGAAAGUUUCGGCGGUUGGGGAUGGACUCGCGGCUUAUCAGCUUGUUGGUGGGGUAGUGGCUUACCAAGGCUUUGACGGGUAGCCGGCCUGAGAGGGUGACCGGCCACAUUGGGACUGAGAUACGGCCCAGACUCCUACGGGAGGCAGCAGUGGGGAAUAUUGCACAAUGGGCGGAAGCCUGAUGCAGCAACGCCGCGUGCGGGAUGACGGCCUUCGGGUUGUAAACCGCUUUCGCCUGUGACGAAGCGUGAGUGACGGUAAUGGGUAAAGAAGCACCGGCUAACUACGUG